AGCCCUCGCCUGCGUUCUAACUGCGCCUCGGUAAAGCCAAAUCAAAACGCGCCAAGCGUCUCAACGCGUUGGCUUGCCUGCGAGGAGUUUACAGCUCGAGUG
rnacentral:lncRNA from 1 species